rnacentral:rRNA from 1 species
ACGACUCGGCAACGGAUAUCUUGGCUCUUGCAACGAUGAAGAACGCAGCGAAAUGCGAUACGUGGUGUGAAUUGCAGAAUUCCGUGAAUCAUCGAGUCUUUGAACGCAAGUUGCGCCCGAGGCUUGUCCGAGGGCACGCCUGCCUGAGCGUCUCAC